AUUGAACGCUGGCGGCAUGCCUUACACAUGCAAGUCGAACGGCAGCACGGGUGCUUGCACCUGGUGGCGAGUGGCGAACGGGUGAGUAAUAUAUCGGAACGUACCUUAUUGUGGGGGAUAACGCAGCGAAAGCUGUGCUAAUACCGCAUAAUCCCUAAGGGGGAAAGCGGGGGACCGUAAGGCCUCGCGCAAUUAGAGCGGCCGAUACCUGAUUAGCUAGUUGGUGAGGUAAAGGCUCACCAAGGCAACGAUCAGUAGCUGGUCUGAGAGGACGAUCAGCCACACUGGGACUGAGACACGGCCCAGACUCCUACGGGAGGCAGCAGUGGGGAAUUUUGGACAAUGGGGGCAACCCUGAUCCAGCCAUGCCGCGUGAGUGAAGAAGGCCUUCAGGUUGUAAAGCUCUUUCGGCCGGGAAGAAAUCGCACAGGCUAAUACUCUGUGUGGAUGACGGUACCGGCAUAAGAAGCACCGGCUAACUACGUGCCAGCCGCCGCAGUAA
rnacentral:rRNA from 1 species